rnacentral:rRNA from 1 species
GGGUUGUGAGGUUAAGCGACUAAGCGUACACGGUGGAUGCCCUGGCAGUCAGAGGCGAUGAAGGGCGUGCUAAUCUGCGAUAAGCGCCGGUAAGGUGAUAUGAACCGUUAUAACCGGCGAUUUCCGAAUGGGGAAACCCAGUGUGAUUCGUCACACUAUCAUUAACUGAAUC